rnacentral:rRNA from 1 species
CCCUUAGAUGUUCUGGGCCGCACGCGCGCUACACUGAUGAAUUCAACGAGCACUAACCUGUGCAGAAAUGUUCGGGUAAUCUUGUGAAAUUUCAUCGUGAUGGGGAUUGAUUAUUGCAAUUAUUAAUCAUAAACGAGGAAUGCCUAGUAAGCGUGAGUCAUCAGCUCACGUUGAUUACGUCCCUGCCCUUUGUACACACCGCCCGUCGCACCUACCGAUUGAAUGUUUCGGUGAAGAUUCCGGAUAGGACUUUUUUGAUUUAUUUCAAUUUUGUCUUAAAAGCUAUCUAAACCUCAACAUUUAGAGGAAGGUGAAGUCGUAACA